rnacentral:rRNA from 1 species
UACGUAGGGGGCUAGCGUUGUCCGGAAUCAUUGGGCGUAAAGAGCGUGUAGGCGGUCCGGUAAGUCCGCUGUGAAAGUCGGGGGCUCAACCCUCGAAUGCCGGUGGAUACUGUCGGGCUAGAGUACGGAAGAGGCGAGUGGAAUUCCUGGUGUAGCGGUGAAAUGCGCCAGAUAUCAGGAGGAACACCGAUUGCGAAGGCAGCUCGCUGGGGACGU